UCUAGAACUCAAGAUAUGAACUGAAAACUGAACAGUGUCUGAGCUGCAGGACAGAUUGUGACUUCUCCGUUGUUGCUAAGAUUUGAACUUGAAAACAGCAUAAUUGAGUCUUGAACUCCGCAUGAAAGUUUUAAGUCUAUGUCUUAGCUUUCCAUC
rfam:Populus trichocarpa isolate Nisqually-1 chromosome 19, whole genome shotgun sequence.